UAACUUUCAGCAACGGAUCUCUUGGCUCUCGCAUCGAUGAAGAACGCAGCGAAAUGCGAUAAGUAAUGUGAAUUGCAGAAUUCAGUGAAUCAUCGAAUCUUUGAACGCACCUUGCGCCCUUUGGUAUUCCGAAGGGCAUGCCCGUUUGAGUGUCAUUG
rnacentral:rRNA from 1 species